rnacentral:rRNA from 1 species
AUUGAACGCUAGCGGGAUGCCUUACACAUGCAAGUCGAACGGAGUGGCGAACGGGUGAGUAAUGUAUCGGAACGUGCCCAGUAGCGGGGGAUAACUACGCGAAAGCGUAGCUAAUACCGCAUACUAUUGGAGCGGCCGAUAUCGGAUUAGCUAGUUGGUGGGGUAACGGCUUACCAAGGCGAGUAUCCAUAGCUGGUUUGAGAGGACGACCGACCACAUGGGGACUGAGACACGGCCCAGACUCCUACGGGAGGCAGCAGUAGGGAAUUUUGGCCAAUGGGGGAAACCCUGAUCCAGCCAUCCCGCGUGUGCGAUGAAGGCUUUCGGAUUGUAAAGCACUUUUGGCAGGAAAGCGGUACCUGCAGAAUAAGCACCGGCUAACUACGUGCCAGCAGCCGCGGUAAUUC